rnacentral:rRNA from 1 species
AUGCCCUGCUUCCAGGAAAAGCCUCUAAGCAUCAGGUAACAUCAAAUCGUACCCCAAACCGACACAGGUGGUCAGGUAGAGAAUACCAAGGCGCUUGAGAGAACUCGGGUGAAGGAACUAGGCAAAAUGGUGCCGUAACUUCGGGAGAAGGCACGCUGAUAUGUAGGUGAAGUCCCUCGCGGAUGGAGCUGAAAUCAGUCGAAGAUACCAGCUGGCUGCAACUGUUUAUUAAAAACACAGCACUGUGCAAACACGAAAGUGGACGUAUACGGUGUGACGCCUGCCCGGUGCCGG